rnacentral:rRNA from 1 species
UAGGGAAUAUUGCACAAUGGGCGAAAGCCUGAUGCAGCAACGCCGCGUGUGUGAUGAAGGCCUUCGGGUCGUAAAGCACUUUUCUGGGAGAUGAGAAAGGACAGUAUCCCAGGAAUAAGUCUCGGCUAACUACGUGCCAGCAGCCGCGGUAAAACGUAGGAGGCAAGCGUUAUCCGGAUUCACUGGGCGUAAAGCGCGUGCAGGCGGUGCGGUAAGUUGGGUGUGAAAUCUCCCGGCUCAACUGGGAGAGGUCAUUCAAUACUACCGUACUCGAGAGCAGAAGAGGAAGAUGGAAUUCCCGGUGUAGUGGUGAAAUGCGUAGAUAUCGGGAGGAACACCAGUGGCGAAGGCGAUCUCCUGGUCUGUUUCUGACGCUCAGACGCGACAGCUAGGGGUAGUAAACGGGAUUAGAGACCCCGGUAAUCCUAGCCGUAAACGAUGUGAACUUGGCGUUGGUGGGUUAAACUCCAUCAGU